AUGAUGCAGGCAGGCAGGCAGGGACCAGGCAGAGAGAGCAGCCUGCAGCCACCAGUGGUGGAGGCAAGUGGGACCGUGGACUCAGCAGGUGCGGAGAUGAAUGAGCCCAGAAGGAGGAGGGGGUGAAAUGGCAAGGGGGUCACCAUGGAGCCAGCGUCCCUCUGUGGACCUGAGCCGAUCGCUUAGCUGUAGUUCAGAGCAGCUCUACCAAGUGUUGCCUCAGGCUGUGGGGGAUUUUUUUUCCCUGAUGGUGCUUCCCUUGUGUGGUUUCUCUGGUGCGGAGGAGACGCAUGUGGGCCAGGGAAGCCAGCUCUGCUGUGCAUGCAGGGCCGGGACCAGGGCUUGCUUCUGUUGCCAGCACUGGGAGGAAGAUGUGUCCUGGGCACGAGUCAGGUGUGCAGGGCGAGACUGGGCUGUCCCUCCCUCCUCCCCUGCCACCUCCUGCCGCAACCGAGCCCCUCUGCUGCCGCCCCUUUAACCAUCACCUUUCACAAAGGGGAAAGAAUAAAGCCAGAGCUGAUUUUGAACUGUUUAUUGUAUAAUAUAAAACUACAAAAGUAAGACUGCUCAUUUCCAUGUACAUCUGUCCAACUGGGGGUUGAUUACAGCCCAUUCCUACAUGUGAAUACAGUAAUCUGUUUUCAGAUGUAUAUGUCUGUAAUAUUGCAUAGAAAAGGCACAGCUCUAAGGUCUGUGGGGGGGAAGGGAAAUACAGCCUUUUUUUUCUUGGGGGGGGGGGGGGUGUGUGUUUCUUAUCUUUUUUUUCUGUUUUGGCUUUUUUUUAUUCUUUUUUUUAAUGUGGUUUUUUUUUCAAUAACAAGCCCUGUUCAAACAACCAUGCAUUGAACAUGUCACACUAUUUACACCUUUUCCAGAAUCUUGGCCUUCACAGGCACUAGGUAUGGAUUACGCUCAGAGCUAGACGGGAGUUGAAGUUGGGAUUUUCAUUUGCAAUUUGUGAUUGUUGGGAUUUGGUGUUG